GGGUAGCACAAUUUCCGUUGAAGGAUAUGACUCUUCGGUUCAUGAGUAUCCUCUCGAGCUCGCGUUGAGAAAGCAUUUCGCUUCAUGCGGAAAGAUCCAAUGUUUUCAUAUCUUCAAAGACUUUAAACGGGUUUUUCUCAAGAGGUUUUUUUUGUAGCUUCUUCCUUCCAAUUUUCACUCAUGUUGUAACAAUUCAACACUCAAAUACAACUUUU
rnacentral:lncRNA from 1 species